UACGUAGGGCGCAAGCGUUGUCCGGAAUUAUUGGGCGUAAAGAGCUCGUAGGCGGCUUGUCACGUCGAUUGUGAAAGCUCGGGGCUUAACCCCGAGUCUGCAGUCGAUACGGGCUAGCUAGAGUGUGGUAGGGGAGAUCGGAAUUCCUGGUGUAGCGGUGAAAUGCGCAGAUAUCAGGAGGAACGCCGGUGGCGAAGGCGGAUCUCUGGGCCAUUACUGACGCUGAGGAGCGAAAGCGUGGGGAGCGAACAGG
rnacentral:rRNA from 1 species